GUCCACGCCCUAAACGAUGUCAACUGGUUGUUGGACGGCUUGCUGUUCAGUAACGAAGCUAACGCGUGAAGUUGACCGCCUGGGGAGUACGGCCGCAAGGUUGAAACUCAAAGGAAUUGACUGGGACCCCGCACAAGCGGUGGAUGAUGUGGUUUAAUUCGAUGCAACGCGAAAACCUUACCUACCCUUGACAUGUCAAGAAUCUUGCAGAGAUGUGAGAGUGCUCGAAAGAGAACUUGAACACAGGUACUGCAUGGCCGUCGU
rnacentral:rRNA from 1 species